AAAACAGUGCCCUUUGAGGUCUGUGAGAGAUCCGUUGUGCACAUGGAGCUAGAAAUAAAGCCUGGCAUAAGCAUCAGUACGAUACCUACAAAUGACACAGCCACAGAAAUACAUUAAGCAACGGUGGCAAACUAUCGCCUUGGACACCCAGCUGUGUUUGCUCUUUGAUAGUUUUGUGGUCCUGUGGUCUUAGACCCUUACACAGCAGAUGGGUGUUUUAUAACUUGGUGUUGUUUGCAGGGGAGAGGGGGAGGUGAGUUUUUUUAGUGUGUUGUUUUUUUGUUUGUUUGUUUGUUUGCUGUGGAUGUGUUUUGUAUACAUGGUGCAAUUCAGCUAACUGGCAGGAAGGCCUUCAUCUCACUGUGGAAAUGGUGUGCUGUAAUGCUCUGCUAUGGAGAAGCAAUCUUUGAUGAAACUGAAAAAUUUUUAACAAAACAACACCGCAGAGAUCCUGUGUUAUUUGUACUGCUGCCAGCAGGAAUAUCUGAGUGCUUCACAUCUGAAAUAAGCUUGAGAUUUGCUGCUUCCAGCACCGAUUGGAAGCAAGGUGAGGUAGUAAGCUUGCUCUGAUUCACAAAAGUGCAAUGUAACUUCUUUGAGUUCUGGGAUGCUCUUGAUCAUCCUUUCCACAAUUUCCAGAAGGACAUUUUGAGCUGUACUACUGUUAAAUCUCAUACUGCAGUCGUAUUUCAUACACAUAUACUAGAACUGUGUCUGCUACCCUAGCAUGGGAGUUCUGUUUGGUCUGCCAUUUACCUUCACCUCUUUUCCCUCAGCCUAUGGUACUUGGUUUGUAAGCCAGCAUCAAUAACCAACAAUGAAUAACAAAUGCUUGCUGUAGUCAUUUCAUGGUGUUUAUUAGCACAGGCUGGUCCCUGAGCAGUGGCAGAGAAUAAAAUAAUGAGUACCUCAGAGUGUACUCAAUUUACAAGCAGCAGUGAAGGGACUACUUAACUACAAAGGGCAAUGCAAUGCCUAAAUGAAAAGGGCAAGAAGCCCAACUUGGAGAGAUGGGUUUAACCUUCCUAGCUGCUGGUUAAUGCUACAUCUAGACAAGUAGUUAUUUCUAAUAUACAAUGGAGUGACUUGUUUAUCAACUCAAAAUUAUGGCAUUUACUUUAUUUUCAAUCCAUCUUGAAUGUGUAUGAGUGUUUUCUGUGUACUUAAAAAGAAAAAAAGAAAAAAACCUGCUUAAAAAGUCUUAAAGUCAAUUUCUGCUGUCACUCAAGUGUCACUUUAAGGCCAGCCCCUCUCAAAAACCCAUGGCUGUUUGAUUUUUGUUUUCAGAAAAAAAGCCAGAAGUGAUAGAACUUGCCAAAUCUUUCCUUUUCCUUGAAAGCACAGAUGUCUAAGGGAGCCCUGCUUUGCAAGGACUUCUGCAACCUUUGUUUUUUGACUCCUCAGGAAUGUGACACAUUGUUAUCACAGUUGCCUAAGAUGCUUUAGCUGCAGGUUUAUCAUAUACUGCAGGCUCAUGAACUACUUCCCUGGGGACCACGCUUCAUUCUUGAUUUACAUGGUGUCUCCUCACUAGCCAGCACCAUUCAAUUCCUGUCCUCUUGACAUCCUGUCUUAGAAACUGACCUUCUAUUCUAUGUUAGCUGCCCUGAGUUGCUAUUGAAAGAAUGCCUGCUGUUCAGGAAGACGCACAGUGGUGUCUGGCAAGGGAAAACAGUGCUGGAAUUUCAGUGAUGCAAAGACAUACAUAGAAAAAGCCAUCUGAGGAAAAGCAGCCACGUUUAUGUUCCUGUCUUUGAAUUGAUAAACUGUACAGAUUUGGAAUUUUCCUAUAUUAAUACAGGUGCACAAGAAUGCAGAGGCACAUUUAAAAAAAAGCAAAAACAAAAAGCCAACACACAAAGCCCCAGCUUCCAAAACACUUGCUUAUUUCCAAUGUGCAUUUAGGGAGAUGCCAGCGUGGAGUUUUGGUGUCUUGGUGGUUGUUUUUGUGUGUGUUUGUGUCUUUUCAUUUUAGGUUUUUAGGGAAUUCGGUUUUGAGAUGAAGAAAAUAAAUAUUCCCUUUCUGGGAAUACACUGCCAAAUUGUCAAAGUUUUUUGGAGUUCUUGCAUAAUAAUCAUGUAGAUUUUGAUGAAGACAUCUGUGGCCUUUGCAGGAUCCUUGCAGGACGUCUUUAAUUUGAUGAACACUAUCUUGAGGACGCAGAGAAUUGCUUAUGUCUUUUCCCUUCAUGGUCUGGGGGAUUCCAAGAAUAGUUAUCUCUGAGGACUUCAUCUGUUCUGGGAUGCUGACUGAUCUGUAGAAGUCUGGUUUUGUCACCGUAUUUGAAACAACUCAGAGCUGACAAAAGGGAAUUCAAUCUAUUUUGCUAUUUGAAGCCACUGGCUAUAAGCAGCCUGGCUUGAGGUUGAACUCAGUGCUGCACAGCUGCAAACAGUGUACUUUGAGAUCAAGUGGUGCCUCUUUACAGCAAAGUAAGAAUAAGCUGCUCUGAGCUGCUAUGCUGGCAGUAGGAAGAGAGGACAGGGGAAGUUAAGACAGGUGUGCAAAAGGAUCCAGCCUAGGGCAAAGGAGCACGUCUGGCAUUUCCUGGAGCAGUGCAACAGUGCAAGUCUCCCUGUGCACUGCGGGAGAUGUUUGCCUAUCUCACUCUGACCCUGAGAUGACAAGGAGGAGGAACCUGAAGGCAAGUGCAAGCUGAAAAGAGCAUGAGCACAUUUUUCAUUUCUAACAUGCCAUGGAGUACUUCGAUUGCCUGAUAGCAACUGUAUGGGAAAAUUCUGCCUUAUCGCUUAGUUUCAAAUUUCUUUCUCCUCUGGGGACAGGAGACAGCACUUACAUGUGCAGGCAAAAAAUGUGGGAGUACUCUGUGAAUUCUCUGAUGACUAGAAAACUCCAGACUUCAAUAACUUAACAAAACAAACCCAAAACUCCUAAACGGCACCACCUCAGCUGUUAAAAGGAAAUGCGUUUUUUCUGUCAGUGUAUUCGCCAUUUCAGUCUCAUUCCUGUUGUGACUGUUUUUCUUUUUUUUCCCCCUCCCCAGCUGCUGACAACAGUGCACUUGUGCAACUAUUUCCUGCACUUUCCUGCAGAUCACUUCCUUUCCUCCAGCUCUGGAAGGAGGUUGUACCGUGUCACCUCAGCUGACCAGACCUGCACCCACAUACUUGUUUCCCAUGUGGAUGGAUGCUGGGCUCCCAGCGAGGGUGUUGCUGCUCCCACACGUGGAACAUACUUUUGUGAUGAACAUACACAUGUUCCCCUGGGGCAGGCAUGUCCAACCUGCGGCCCACAUGUGGCCUGGCCCAGUCCAUCCUGCAGUUGCCCUGUGCCAUCAUGGCAAUGGCUCUGCCCCACUGAGUGACCCUAGGCUUGCACCCAUUGCUCACAGCAACCACACACAGGUGUGCAGUUGGCACUGCAUAGGCUGAAACCGGGAUGUGGAGAGGUCAUGGUGCAGUGCUGACUCAAGUGAUGGCACAUAAUUACAUGUGUUGUGGCAUUGGCAGUGCAAGCACUUGUGAGCAAUUGUUUUCAAGGAUGAAGCACAGGAAGAGCAAAAUUUCAUCAGAAAUCUCUGCUAAACACCUUGAGAGCUCCCUAAGAAUGGCAACUGCUGCUGUCAAACUAUGCUUAUGUGUUAGUUCCUCAAAAACAAGGUCACGCAUUCCAGCAGAUUUAUGAUUUUCUUAUUUUAAUUAAAAAUAUUGAAGAUUAAAAUAAGUUUGUUACCUAUAUGCAUUAACUAUAUAAUAUAUUUGACAAGGGCUGCUCUGGAAUUAAUGGCUUCUAUUUCAUUACGUAGGCCUGCAGUGUCAGAGGCAGAAGUUGGUUGGUAUGGCAGCAGAGGUUGAACCUUCCCACCAAUACUGUAACGUUGCUGUGUGACAGAUGGCAGAAGAAGUCUGACAGAAUGGCACCUGAUAUGGAAGUGUGUAUGGAGCAAAGGGUGCUCUUUAUCAGUGAGAGAAAUGUAAAACUACAGAGAGUGAAUGACCGAUGGCAUAGAGACUGUCACCUUUAUUUUGUAUCUAGAAAUAUGCAGAAAGCAACAGUACAAAGUUCUCCUGGAUGACCAAGAUGCCUUAGCUGUGACUUGGGCUGUUGACAGCAGAAAAGGCAAGCUGCUCCUUUCUGGGCUUCAGAAGUAAACUGGUGACGAAGGCAUGAGUUGGGAUGGAAGCUCCUCAACAUGGUGGAGACUGUCCCCAGCUGCUGCUGCUGCUGGAAAUAGCUUGGGACUUGAUGAAAGGCAAUCCAAACAAGAGCUGGCUUGCAUGCGCAGGUCCUUCACGGUGUGGUGCCAACUUGUGAGGGAGUUCAUUUACCAGUGACAAGUUUUAACCGUG